UACGAAGGGGGCUAGCGUUGCUCGGAAUCACUGGGCGUAAAGCGCACGUAGGCGGAUUGCUAAGUCAGGGGUGAAAGCUCGAGCUCAACUCCAGAACUGCCUUUGAUACUGGUAACUUGAGUUCGGGAGAGGUGAGUGGAACUGCGAGUGUAGAGGUGAAAUUCGUAGAUAUUCGCAAGAACACCAGUGGCGAAGGCGGCUCACUGGUCCGGUACUGACGCUGAGGUGCGAAAAGCGUGGGGAGCAAACAGGGAU
rnacentral:rRNA from 1 species